ACGGAGCCGCUGUGGGAAUGGCUCCCCGCGGCGCCCGGGCGCUGGGAUCCGGCUCUGGGAUCUGGGAUGGGAUCCGGGUUUGGGAUCUGGGAUGGCAUCGAGGCCCUGGAGCACAGCGAGGGCUCCCUACGGAGCCCAGGCGCUGGGAUCCGUGUUUGGGAUCCGGCUCUGGGAUCCGGGAUGGGAUCCAGGAUUGGGAUCGGGGAUGGCAUCGAGGCCCUGGAGCACAGCCAGGGCUCCCUACGGAGCCCAGGUGCUGGGAUCCGUGUUUGGGAUCCGGCUCUGGGAUCCGGGAUGGGAUCAGCCAGGGCACGGAGCCGCCGUGGGAACGGCUCCCCGCGGCGCCCGGGCGCUGGGAUCCGGCUCUGGGAUCCGGGAUGGGAUCCGGGAUGGGAUCAGCCAGGGCACGGAGCCGCUGUGGGAACGGCUCCCCGCGGCGCCCGGGCACUGGGAUCCGGCUCUGGGAUCUGGGAUGGGAUCCGGCUCUGGGAUCCGGGUUUGGGAUCCGGGCUGGCAUCGGCCAGGGCACGGAGGGAUCCGGCUAUGGGAUCCAGGAUGGGAUCCGGGUUUGGGAUCUGGGAUGGCAUCGAGGCCUUGGAGCACAGCGAGGGCUCCCUGCAGCACCUGGGCUCUGGGAUCCCGUCUGGGAUCCGGGUUUGGGAUCCCAUCUGGGAUCCGGGUUUG
rnacentral:lncRNA from 1 species